UAAGUAAAAAACUACCCCCGUAAAUUUGCUAAAAAUCGCUAAAUGAUGGGGGCUGACUAUACAACAGUGACAGAAUUCUGUCCAUUUACAGUAAAUAUCAUGAGCAAUAUGAACAUUUAACUAGUGAGAAAACCCAUUAAAUCCUCCUUGUUUUUCAAACUUUGAUUGAGAACCAUCGUCUCUGAUGCUACAAAGUUGACGAGGGUCAGAGGAUCUCUUCAAGCACCAAUUAUCGGGGACAGUCAAGAAAUGUGU
rnacentral:misc_RNA from 1 species